rnacentral:rRNA from 1 species
AGAGUUUGAUCAUGGCUCAGAUUGGACGCUGGCGGCAGGCCUAACACAUGCAAGUCGAGCGGUAGAGAGAAGCUUGCUUCUCUUGAGAGCGGCGGACGGGUGAGUAAUGCCUAGGAAUCUGCCUGGUAGUGGGGGAUAACGUCCGGAAACGGACGCUAAUACCGCAUACGUCCUACGGGGGAAAGCAGGGGACCUUCGGGCCUUGCGCUAUCAGAUGAGCCUAGGUCGGAUUAGCUAGUUGGUGGGGCAAUGGCUCACCAAGGCGACGAUCCGUAACUGGUCUGAGAGGAUGAUCAGUCACACUGGAACUGAGACACGGUCCAGACUCCUACGGGAGGCAGCAGUGGGGAAUAUUGGACAAUGGGCGAAAGCCUGAUCCAGCCAUGCCGCGUGUGUGAAGAAGGUCUUCGGAUUGUAAAGCACUUUAAGUUGGGAGGAAGGGCAGUAAAUUAAUACUUUGCUGUUUUGACGUUACCGACAGAAUAAGCACCGGCUAACUCUGUGCCAGCAGCCGCGGUAAUACAGAGGGUGCAAGCGUUAAUCGGAAUUACUGGGCGUAAAGCGCGCGUAGGUGGUUCGUUAAGUUGGAUGUGAAAUCCCCGGGCUCAACCUGGGAACUGCAUUCAAAACUGACGAGCUAGAGUAUGGUAGAGGGUGGUGGAAUUUCCUGUGUAGCGGUGAAAUGCGUAGAUAUAGGAAGGAACACCAGUGGCGAAGGCGACCACCUGGACUGAUACUGACACUGAGGUGCGAAAGCGUGGGGAGCAAACAGGAUUAGAUACCCCGGUAGU